GAUUUCUGGCUCGAAGCGCCUAGCCCGCCUCGGUUACGAGUGUGAGUGCUGGUGCGGUUCUGCCAUCCUUCCAAAGAACGGUCUUCACCCUUCACUGGGCUGGGGGCCGCGAUUUGGAUCUAUUACUUUGAAAAAAUUAGAGUGUUUAAAGCAGGCAUUUUGCCUUGAAUAUAUUAGCAUGGAAUAAUGAUUUAGGACUUUGGUUCUAUUUUGUUGGUUUCUAGGACUGAAGUAAUGAUUGAUAGGGAUAGUUGGGGGUGCUAGUAUUCCGUGGCCAGAGGUGAAAUUCUUGGAUUCACGGAAGACUAACUUAUGCGAAAGCAUU
rnacentral:rRNA from 1 species